rnacentral:rRNA from 1 species
GAUGAACGCUGGCGGCGUGCCUUAGGCAUGCAAGUCGAACGGUCCGAUGUUACAUCGGACAGUGGCAGACGGGUGAGUAACGCGUAGGAAUCUACCUCUAGGUGGACCAUAGCCUUUCGAAAGAGGGGGUAAUAGUCCAUGGUCCGGAAACGGUAAAGCAUUAACUUUGCGCCAAGAGAGGAGCCUGCGUCCUAUCAGCUUGUUGGUGGGGUAAUGGCCUACCAAGGCAAUGACGGGUAGCUGGACUGAGAGGUCGAUCAGCCACAACUGCACUUAGACACGGGCAGUACACCUACGGGUGGCAG